UAGGGAAUCUUCCGCAAUGGACGAAAGUCUGACGGAGCAACGCCGCGUGAGUGAUGAAGGUUUUCGGAUCGUAAAACUCUGUUAUUAGGGAAGAACAAAUGCGUAAGUAACUGUGCGCAUCUUGACGGUACCUAAUCAGAAAGCCACGGCUAACUACGUGCCAGCAGCCGCGGUAAUACGUAGGUGGCAAGCGUUAUCCGGAAUUAUUGGGCGUAAAGCGCGCGUAGGCGGUUUCUUAAGUCUGAUGUGAAAGCCCACGGCUCAACCGUGGAGGGUCAUUGGAAACUGGGAAACUUGAGUACAGAAGAGGAAAGUGGAAUUCCAUGUGUAGCGGUGAAAUGCGCAGAGAUAUGGAGGAUCACCAGUGGCGAAGGCGACUUUCUGGUCUGUAACUGACGCUGAUGUGCGAAAGCGUGGGGAUCAAACA
rnacentral:rRNA from 1 species